rnacentral:rRNA from 1 species
GAGAAUACAUCGGAAUCUACUUUUUCGUGGGGGAUAACGUAGGGAAACUUACGCUAAUACCGCAUACGACCUACGGGUGAAAGCAGGGGACCUUCGGGCCUUGCGCGAUUGAAUGAGCCGAUGUCGGAUUAGCUAGUUGGCGGGGUAAAGGCCCACCAAGGCGACGAUCCGUAGCUGGUCUGAGAGGAUGAUCAGCCACACUGGAACUGAGACACGGUCCAGACUCCUACGGGAGGCAGCAGUGGGGAAUAUUGGACAAUGGGCGCAAGCCUGAUCCAGCCAUACCGCGUGGGUGAAGAAGGCCUUCGGGUUGUAAAGCCCUUUUGUUGGGAAAGAAAUCCAGCCGGCUAAUACCUGGUUGGGAUGACGGUACCCAAAGAAUAAGCACCGGCUAACUUCGUGCCAGCAGCCGCGGUAAUACGAAGGGUGCAAGCGUUA